AGCUGUUGCUGUCUGGUGAGCAAGAAGCAGGAGAUGAGAUUUCUGAUGUGGCCUUCAGGAACACCCCACGCACCCCAGCCAAGCGUCUCCACCAGAUAAGAAAGCGCCCAAGACGCAGCAAAGAAGACAUGUUCUGGGAGGUCCUGAAGUGCU